rnacentral:rRNA from 1 species
AUUGAACGCUGGCGGCAGGCCUAACACAUGCAAGUCGAACGGAGCGGCGGUCGGGUGAGUAAUGCCUAGGCUUCUGCCUGGUAGUGGUGGAUAACGUCCGCAACCGGGCGCUAAUACCGCAUACUCUCAGAUGAGCCUAGGUCGGAUUAGCUAGUGGUUGGGGUAAAGGCCUACCAAGACGACGAUCCGUAACUGGUCCGAGAGGAUGAUCAGUCACACUGGAACUGAGACACGGUCCAGACUCCUACGGGAGGCAGCAGUGGGGAAUAUUGCACAAUGGGCGCAAGCCUGAUCCAGCCAUGCCGCGUGGGUGAAGAAGGCCUUCGGGUUGUAAAGCCCUUUUGGUGGGAAAGCGGUACCCAAAGAAUAAGCACCGGCUAACUUCGUGCCAGCAGCCGCGGUAAUAC